GCUUUUUACAGAGGAGGUUGCACAGAUUAUGUUCCGGUUCCACGAAGUUAAGCGCCAGAAAUAUCGCUCUUAGAGAAUUGCUUAUACUCUCAGCCCCCCAGUGGUGAUAUCCAAUUCCCUCGGAUUCUUAGGUCAGUCACCACGCCCGUAUCGGAGAUCCAGCCUAUCCGAAUUAUGGUUAAAGUCCCAGCGUUUUUAGUCAGAGGGAAUCUGCAGCUCACUGUAGAUGCCUUGAACUGAAGACUGAGUUAUUUGGAGUGUAGAAUGUGUGGGGUAGCGGUGAAUGCAUAGAUAUUCACACAGAAUGCCAUUGCGGAAGGCAGAUCACUAACAAUUACUGACGCUCCAGGACGAAAGCGUGGGUAGCGAUCAGGAUUAGAUACCCUGGUAGUCACGCCGUAACGAUGGAUACUAGCUGUAUGUCUACUUCAGGUAGAUGUGGGCAAGCGAAAGUGAUAAGUAUCCCACCUGGGAGUACGAUUGCAAGAUUGAAACUCAAAGGAAUUGACGGGGGCCCGCACAAGCGGUGGAGCAUGUGGUUUAAUUCGAUGAUACGCGAGGAACCUUACCAGGGCUUAAAUGUAACGGGACAGGUCUAGAGAUAGACCCUUCUUCGGACUCAUUACAAGGUGCUGCAUGGUUGUCGUCAGCUCGUGCCGUGAGGUGUCAGGUUAAGUCCUAUAACGAGCGCAACCCCCAUCGUUAGUUGCCAACGAGUAAUGUCGGGAACUCUAACGAAACUGCCGGUGCAAACCGUGAGGAAGGUGGGGAUGACGUCAAAUCAUCACGGCCCUUACGUCCUGGGCUACACACGUGCUACAAUGGUCGGUACAGAGAGCAGCCACUUCGCGAGAAGGAGCAAAUCUACAAAACCGAUCUCAGUUCGGAUCGGAGUCUGCAACUCGACUCCGUGAAGCUGGAAUCGCUAGUAAUCGGAUAUCAGCCAUGAUCCGGUGAAUACGUUCCCGGGCCUUGUACACACCGCCCGUCAAGCCAUGGAAGUUGGGAGUGCCUGAAGUCGGUAACCGUAAGGAGCCGCCUAGGGUAAAACUAAUGACUGGGGCUAAGUCGUAACAAGGUAA
rnacentral:rRNA from 1 species